GACGAACGCUGGCGGCGUGCUUAACACAUGCAAGUCGAACGGAAAGGCCCUGCUUUUGUGGGGUGCUCGAGUGGCGAACGGGUGAGUAACACGUGAGUAACCUGCCCUUGACUUUGUGAUAACUUCAGGAAACUGGGGCUAAUACAGGAUAGGAGCUCCUGCUGCAUGGUGGGGGUUGGAAAGUUUCGGCGGUUGGGGAUGGACUGGCGGCUUAUCAGCUUGUUGGUGGGGUAGUGGCUUACCAAGGGUUUGACGGGUAGCCGGCCUGAGAGGGUGACCGGCCACAAUGGGACUAAGGUAGGGACCAGACUCCUACGGUAGGCAGCAGUGGGGAACAUGGCACAAUGGGCCGAAGCCUGAUGCAGCAGUGCCGCGUGCGGAAUGACGGCCUUCGGGGGGUAAACCGCUGUCGCCUGUGACGAAGCGUGAGUGACGGUAAUGGGUAAAGAAGCACCGGCUAACUACGUG
rnacentral:rRNA from 1 species